rnacentral:snoRNA from 1 species
AGGCUGGAGGAUGAGGAACUAGUUUCCUAUAUCCUGACCGGACUUGAUGAAAACUACGAAGCUGUGGUUUCCACGGUCUCUGCGCGGGUUGAAUCUAUCUCGGUAAGCGAGUUAUACACUCAGCUCAUGAGUUUUGAAU